rnacentral:rRNA from 1 species
UUGUUGGUGGGGUAAUGGCCUACCAAGACUUUGAUCAAUAGCUGAUUUGAGAGGAUGAUCAGCCACAUUGGGACUGAGACACGGCCCAAACUCCUACGGGAGGCAGCAGUGGGGAAUCUUGCACAAUGGAGGAAACUCUGAUGCAGCGAUGCCGCGUGAGUGAAGAAGGCCCUUGGGUUGUAAAGCUCUUUCGUCGGGGAAGAAAAUGACUGUACCCGAAUAAGAAGGUCCGGCUAACUUCGUGCCAGCAGCCGCGGUAAUACGAAGGGACCUAGCGUAGUUCGGAAUUACUGGGCUUAAAGAGUUCGUAGGUGGUUGAAAAAGUUGGUGGUGAAAUCCCAGAGCUUAACUCUGGAACUGCCAUCAAAACUUUUCAGCUAGAGUAUGAUAGAGGAAAGCAGAAUUUCUAGUGUAGAGGUGAAAUUCGUAGAUAUUAGAAAGAAUACCAAUUGCGAAGGCAGCUUUCUGGAUCAUUACUGACACUGAGGAACGAAAGCAUGGGUAGCGAAGAGGAUUAGAUACCCUCGUAGUCCAUGCCGUAAACGAUGUGUGUUAGACGUUGGAAAUUUAUUUUCAGUGUCGCAGCGAAAGCGAUAAACACACCGCCUGGGGAGUACGACCGCAAGGUUAAAACUCAAAUGAAUUGACGGGGACCCGCACAAGUAGUGGAGCAUGUGGUUUAAUUCGAAGAUACGCGCAGAACCUUACCAACACUUGACAUGUUCGUCGCGACUCUAAGAGAUUAGAGUUUUCGGUUCGGCCGGACGAAACACAGGUGCUGCAUGGCUGUCGUCAGCUCGUGUCGUGAGAUGUUGGGUUAAGUCCCGCAACGAGCGCAACCCUCACUUUUAGUUGCCAUCAUUAAGUUGGGCACUCUGAAAGAACUGCCAGUGAUAAGCUGGAGGAAGGUGGGGAUGACG